rnacentral:rRNA from 1 species
GAUUACCCGCUGAACUUAAGCAUAUCACUAAGCGGAGGAAAAGAAACUAACCAGGAUUCCCCUAGUAACGGCGAGUGAAGAGGGAAUAGCCCAGCACCGAAGCCUGCGGUAGGUUUACUGCUAGGCAAUGUGGUGUUUGGGUCGACUCGCGGGAUUGCCACUCCACUCGAAGUCCAGCACUGAGUAUGGUUCCCUGGAUUUGGCCCAGAGAGGGUGAAAGGCCCGUGCGAGUGGAGGUUCAGACAUGUGAGGCAAUUCACCAGGUCGACCUUCGAGUCGGGGUGUUUGGAACUGCAGC